UAUUCAGUUAAGUCCUGGCAACCUUAAACAAUAGUCAGCAUUUCUGCUCCAGUGAGCAUAAUUCUGUUGUGUUUUUGAUUGUCUUUUGGCAACAUGUCCCUUGGUGAAGUUUUCUGGGACAGUUUCUGUGAGGUUAGUGAGUUUGCUGUAAUCUUUGAAAGGAUGUUUAGCAGUGCCCAGAGAAAUAUGAAAGUUUUGGGUUCUCUGCUGUAAAACUAGAUUUGCCAUAAAAAAUAUUUCUAACCAGCUCAGCCCUGAGAAGCAAACUGUAUCCCAUUCUUACAGAAAAUGGUGAAAUUGAGUUUUGAUCCCAAAGCACCACUGCUUGUUUUUGUCAAAUCAGAAUACUGUGCUGAGCACACAUUUAAAGAGUGCACAAGAGCAUGGCUUGAGGAUCACAAGGGGGUAGUUCCCAGAUGCACUGUGCCUUUGAGAGGAGCCUGUGUGUGUCACAGACGGCUGUGUUUUCACAAUGCUGCUGCUAAUACUAUCAAAGUAGCAUGUGGGAAGCAAGAGCUGGAGCAGAGAGAUUGUCUCCUGCUUGUGUUCUCUGCUGGACCUGCUGAUGUCCCACUGGGGCACUCAAUGAUUCCCUGCUGAAUGUUUGGUGCCUUUUCUUUUCAACAGUGACAAGAGGUUGGCUCUGGAGUUUCUGGUUCUGACAAGAGUUGGGAAUUGACAAGAUUCACAUAAACAAGGAAGGGUUAUCUGAAUCUUCUCAGGACUCAUGAGAAAUACUGAAUCUGAGCCUGUCCAGCUAACCCCACUGGGCCUGGACUCACUUUUUUGGGAGACCAGAUUCCUCCACGACAUUUCUUUCUUUUCCUUUUUCUUUCCUCUUUGAGUAAGAAGACUUUAACAGCAACCAGUUUUGUUUAAGGAUACAUCCCAAAAGUUUAAGUGGAGGAACUGCAAGGUUGCACUGACCAUGUCUGAUGGUACUUACAAUGGAGAUCUCUUCUGAACAAGAAGGCUGGAGGCUGAAUCAGACAGAAAAUGAGUUUCCACAUUUUGGUGAAGAAAUGAGUGAACAUGUAAAAAUAAGUCGUGAUCCAUGAAUAAAUUUUUUUGUUUUAGCAACCUGAAUAAAGCA